rnacentral:rRNA from 1 species
UACGAAGGGAGCUAGCGUUGUUCGGAAUUACUGGGCGUAAAGGGCGCGUAGGCGGUUUAGUUAGUCAGAUGUGAAAGCCCCGGGCUUAACCUGGGAACUGCAUUUGAUACUGCUAGACUAGAGAUCGAAAGAGGAGAGUGGAAUUGCGAGUGUAGAGGUGAAAUUCGUAGAUAUUCGCAGGAACACCAGUGGCGAAGGCGACUCUCUGGUUCGAUACUGACGCUAAGGCGCGAAAGCGUGGGGAGCAAACAGG